CACUGAGCUGCUGCCUGACUCGUGACACACCUGUCUAAAUAGACACGCAGAGGUGCAACGGUGAAAGCUACAAAACCGGCAACUAUUGACAACAAAUCUGAGGAAGAUGGAGUAUAACAAGAAACAUGAGGAAGUUGUCAUUUCGACUCUCCAAGUUCAAGUGGACGAUGUGAAAAAUGUCAUGAGUCAAAACAUCGAAAAGGUCUUGGACAGAGAAGAGAGACUGACGGAACUGGCAGAUCGAAGCAGCGAUCUGGAGACAGCGGCUCACGGUUUCCAAAAAACAACCGCAAAGGUUUCCAGGAAGAUGUGGUGGAAAAACACUAAACUUAUCAUAAUUAUUACAGUAGUUGUCCUUAUCAUUGUGCUUUUCAUUAUUCUUUUUGCCACGGGUGCCAUUCCUUCAUAAGCAACUUUCUGAGUAAUUGAUCACAAGCAAACACUGGUUCUGUAAAAAAAAAUGUUUUGUAAUAUUUUAAAGCGCUAAUAUUUAUGCUUCGUUUUAUUUUUGUACAAUAAACAUUGUG